rnacentral:tRNA from 1 species
GGCCCGGUAGCGCAGCCUGGUUAGCGCACCUGCCUUUUAAGCAGGUGGUCGCGGGUUCAAAUCCCGUCCGGGCCACCA